UACGAAGGGGGCUAGCGUUGCUCGGAAUCACUGGGCGUAAAGCGCACGUAGGCGGCUUUCUAAGUCAGGGGUGAAAUCCUGGAGCUCAACUCCAGAACUGCCUUUGAUACUGGAGAGCUUGAGUCCGGAAGAGGUGAGUGGAACUCCGAGUGUAGAGGUGAAAUUCGUAGAUAUUCGGAAGAACACCAGUGGCGAAGGCGGCUCACUGGUCCGGUACUGACGCUGAGGUGCGAAAGCGUGGG
rnacentral:rRNA from 1 species